GACGAACGCUGGCGGCGUGCUUAACACAUGCAAGUCGAGCGGUAAGGUCCUUUCGGGGGUACACGAGCGGCGAACGGGUGAGUAACACGUGGGUGACCUGCCCUUAGCUCUGGGAUAAGCCUGGGAAACUGGGUCUAAUACCGGAUAUGACUCCAUGACGCAUGUUGUGGGGUGGAAAGCCUUGUGCGGCUAGGGAUGGGCCCGCGGCCUAUCAGCUUGUUGGUGGGGUGAUGGCCUACCAAGGCGACGACGGGUAGCCGGCCUGAGAGGGCGACCGGCCACACUGGGACUGAGACACGGCCCAGACUCCUACGGGAGGCAGCAGUGGGGAAUCUUGCGCAAUGGGCGAAAGCCUGACGCAGCGACGCCGCGUGGGGAUGACGGCCUCGG
rnacentral:rRNA from 1 species